rnacentral:lncRNA from 1 species
CGGGUUCGAGGUUAUUAGCUACCCUUUGAUGGAGAGAGCCUUUGAAAGCAACGGCCCCAGAAGCGCGGCCCCCCUCGCCGCGGCCAAAUCCGGCUUUGCGCGGGCAGACUCGCCAGUCCCCGAGGGGCAGCCGGGGUCUGGAGGAGGAUCAGACGGCACGGGGCUCGGAAGGGGCACCCCCAGCUACCUGGAUGUCUACUGCUUUCUGGUGGACGAGGGGCAGCGGCAUCGUACACGGCACACCACAAACAUUCAACCCUGGCAGUGGGGUGAGCCGCCCUGUGGAAUGUCACAGCGAUGGAACAAGAUAAUUAAUCGUUUAUUUGCUGUCCAGCUAAAACAGCGCCAGUGCACCAUGUGUAGGAUGUUUGGUUGUCAAGGAGACCAUCUUCAAUAUGUAAACAAGCCUUGCAGCAUUUAUGAAGGCACGGCCUUGUAAUGUAGUGGUUCCUAGUUAAAGGAAGGGACCUGCUCUCGUACCAUUGAGCAGGGUAGUUAUGCUGAAUUGCUCCGGUAAAAUACUGUGCUGUACCAAUAGGUAAAACUGCGAGGGAUUUUGGGUUAUGCUCCCAAGUUACGUGUGGUUACUUUGAAUGUUCGGUCAAGAGCACGUAGAAAAUAUUCUAUAUUUUAUACAGUAAAAGAGGUAAUUAGAGGCAGAAAAGUGAAGGAUAUUAACUGUUCCCAUAAAGUUCCCUCAGCAUUUCUUUAAUUAGAGAAAAUUUAAAGAAAACUAAUUAAAUAUAUCAUUAAAAGAAUAUUACUUUGAUAUUCAGUAGUUUGCAGCCACUUUUUAGAACCACUUUUAAGAGUAAAAAAAAAUCAUAAAAAUUAGACCUAAUAGUACCGCA